rnacentral:lncRNA from 1 species
UACGAGCAAGCAGACCAGCGACUAGAGGAGACAACCUGAUGCCUGUCCUAACUCAGAAAGGCCCAGACCGCGCUGAGGAAAGAAUGGCACUUUACAAAUAGGGGGCAAUGAGAGCAGAGAGAGAAAGCCCCAGGCAGUGGUGUAUAGCACUUCGAAGAAAGAACCUACCAUCCAGAACAGAGAUCAGCUCCCUCACCAACAUCCAAACCCAUUGGAUUAAAGCCCUAGCAGAUCUGGGAUGCUGCCCACUUUCUCGUAUACUCGAGCUGGGCUAUACUCUUUUUUGAACUCGUCCGUAGCAUUCCACACAAGCAUUGGUAUUGACACAGUGCAUAUACUAAAACCUCAUGCUGAUAUCUAUGGUCAUAUUCUUGUGUAACUUCUGUCGU